rnacentral:rRNA from 1 species
GAUGAACGCUAGCUACAGGCUUAACACAUGCAAGUCGAGGGGAAACGAUAUUGGAAGCUUGCUUCCGAUAGGCGUCGACCGGCGCACGGGUGAGUAACGCGUAUCCAACCUGCCCACCACUUGGGGAUAACCUUGCGAAAGUAAGACUAAUACCCAAUGAUAUCUCAAGAAGACAUCUGAAUGAGAUUAAAGAUUUAUCGGUGAUGGAUGGGGAUGCGUCUGAUUAGCUUGUUGGCGGGGUAACGGCCCAACCAGGCGACGAUCAGUAGGGGGUCUGAGAGGAAGGUCCCCCACAUUGGAGCUGAGACACGGUCCAAACGCCUACGGGAGGCAGCAGUGAGGAAUAUUGGUCAAUGGGCGAGAGCCUGAACCAGCCAAGUAGCGUGCAGGAUGACGGCCCUAUGGGUUGUAAACUGCUUUUAUAAGGGAAUAAAGUGAGCCUCGUGAGGCUUUUUGCAUGUACCUUAUGAAUAAGGACCGGCUAAUUCCGUGCCAGCCGCCGCCGUAA